GCUUAGUCAGAUGCUGCAGACCCGAAACGAAGUGAUCUAUCCAUGAGCAAGUUGAAGCUAGUGUAAGAACUAGUGGAGGACUGAACCCAUAGGCGUUGAAAAGCCCCGGGAUGACUUGUGGAUAGGGGUGAAAGGCCAAUCAAACUUCGUGAUAGCUGGUUCUCUCCGAAAUAUAUUUAGGUAUAGCGUUGUGUCGUAAUAUAAGGGGGUAGAGCACUGAAUGGGCUAGGGCAUACACCAAUGUACCAAACCCUAUCAAACUCCGAAUACCUUAUAUGUAAUCACAGCAGUCAGGCGGCGAGUGAUAAAAUCCGUCGUCAAGAGGGAAACAACCCAGACUACCAGCUAAGGUCCCUAAAUCUUACUUAAGUGGAAAACGAUGUGAAGUUACUUAAACAACCAGGAGGUUGGCUUAGAAGCAGCCAUCCUUUAAAGAAAGCGUAAUAGCUCACUGGUCUAGUGAUUUUGCGCGGAAAAUAUAACGGGGCUAAAGUAAGUACCGAAGCUGUAGACUUAGUUUACUAAGUGGUAGGAGAGCGUUCUAUUUGCGUCGAAGGUAUACCGGUAAGGAGUGCUGGAGCGAAUAGAAGUGAGCAUGCAGGCAUGAGUAGCGAUAAUUAAUGUGAGAAUCAUUAACGCCGUAAACCCAAGGUUUCCUACGCGAUGCUCGUCAUCGUAGGGUUAGUCGGGUCCUAAGUCGAGUCCGAAAGGGGUAGACGAUGGCAAAUUGGUUAAUAUUCCAAUACCAACAUUAGUGUGCGAUGGAAGGACGCUUAGGGCUAAGGGGGCUAGCGGAUGGAAGUGCUAGUCUAAGGUCGUAGGAGGUUAUACAGGCAAAUCCGUAUAACAAUACUCCGAGAACUGAAAGGCUUUUUGAAGUCUUCGGAUGGAUAGAAGAACCCCUGAUGCCGUCGAGCCAAGAAAAGUUUCUAAGUUUAGCUAAUGUUGCCCGUACCGUAAACCGACACAGGUGGGUGGGAUGAGUAUUCUAAGGCGCGUGGAAGAACUCUCUUUAAGGAACUCUGCAAAAUAGCACCGUAUCUUCGGUAUAAGGUGUGGUUAGCUUUGUAUUAGGAUUUACUCCGAAAGCAAGGAAACUUACAACAAAGAGUCCCUCCCGACUGUUUACCAAAAACACAGCACUCUGCUAACUCGUAAGAGGAUGUAUAGGGUGUGACGCCUGCCCGGUGCUCGAAGGUUAAUUGAUGGGGUUAGCAUUAGCGAAGCUCUUGAUCGAAGCCCGAGUAAACGGCGGCCGUAACUAUAACGGUCCUAAGGUAGCGAAAUUCCUUGUCGGUUAAAUACCGACCUGCAUGAAUGGCGUAACGAGAUGGGAGCUGUCUCAAAGAGGGAUCCAGUGAAAUUGUAGUGGAGGUGAAAAUUCCUCCUACCCGCGGCAAGACGGAAAGACCCCGUGGACCUUUACUACAGCUUGACACUGCUACUUGGAUAAGAAUGUGCAGGAUAGGUGGGAGGCUUUGAGUAUAUGACGCCAGUUGUAUAUGAGCCAUUGUUGAGAUACCACUCUUUCUUAUUUGGGUAGCUAACCAGCUUGAGUUAUCCUCAAGUGGGACAAUGUCUGGUGGGUAGUUUGACUGGGGCGGUCGCCUCCCAAAUAAUAACGGAGGCUUACAAAGGUUGGCUCAGAACGGUUGGAAAUCGUUCGUAGAGUAUAAAGGUAUAAGCCAGCUUAACUGCAAGACAUACAAGUCAAGCAGAGACGAAAGUCGGUCUUAGUGAUCCGGUGGUUCUGUGUGGAAGGGCCAUCGCUCAAAGGAUAAAAGGUACCCCGGGGAUAACAGGCUGAUCUCCCCCAAGAGCUCACAUCGACGGGGAGGUUUGGCACCUCGAUGUCGGCUCAUCGCAUCCUGGGGCUGGAGCAGGUCCCAAGGGUAUGGCUGUUCGCCAUUUAAAGCGGUACGCGAGCUGGGUUCAGAACGUCGUGAGACAGUUCGGUCCCUAUCUGCCGUGGGCGUAAGAAGAUUGAAGAGAUUUGACCCUAGUACGAGAGGACCGGGUUGAACAAACCACUGGUGUAGCUGUUGUUCUGCCAAGAGCAUCGCAGCGUAGCUAAGUUUGGAAAGGAUAAACGCUGAAAGCAUCUAAGCGUGAAGCCAACUCUAAGAUGAAUCUUCUCUAAGCUCUCUAGAAGACUACUAGUUUGAUAGGCUGGGUGUGUAAUGGAUGAAAGUCCUUUAGCUGACCAGUACUAAUAGAGCGUUUGGCUUAUCUUUAAUAAAGCAU
rnacentral:rRNA from 1 species